rnacentral:rRNA from 1 species
UACGGGGGGGGCAAGCGUUGUUCGGAAUUACUGGGCGUAAAGGGCUUGUAGGUGGCCAACUAAGUCAGACGUGAAAUCCCUCGGCUUAACCGGGGAACUGCGUCUGAUACUGGAUGGCUGGAGGUUGGGAGAGGGAUGCGGAAUUCCAGGUGUAGCGGUGAAAUGCGUAGAUAUCGAGAGGAACACCUGCGGCGAGGGCGGGUUGCUGGGCUGAUACUGACGCUGAGGCGCGAAAGCCAGGGGAGCGAACGGG